UAAUCACCCUUAAUCUCCCUAGCCCAUGAAUUCAAAAGAUGAUUACUCACUAAUCUCCAUGAUUCCUCUUAAACCCAUAUUGGAUUUCAAAUUAAUCAUCUAGAGAAAUAGAUAAGAAAUCAACAAGAACACAAGAUGAAAGCAAUGAAAUCUGAAUCAAAAGAAGUUUUACUAGUUGUUCUCCCGAAAAGAGAUCCCCUUUUGCCUGGUGGCUACCAAAGGUACUUAAAACAUAGGUUUUGAAAAAUAAAAAACGUGCAUGAUGAAAUGACCAAAAGGCCCUUGAGAAAACAUGAAUUCGGCCAAACAAAUUGACGCGGAGCGACCUUGGCACGUCGCUGCGAGAGGUCGCUCCCGGGUCGUUUCUUCGCGAGCGACCUGGUUGUGUCGCUCCGAAGACGUUGCUCCUGGGUCGUCUCCUCGCGAGCGACCUGGCUGUGUCGCUCUGAAGACGUCGCUCCCGGCUUGCUCGUCGCUCUCAAAUUGACACAACCCGAGCGACCUCUGGGUGUCGCUGUGGUGAGGUCGCUCUAGGAGCUGGAGCGACUUCGCCUUGUCGCUCUAGGAGGUCGCUCCGAAGCGUAAAUGGCUAGCGAGUUCAUGGCGUCACUCCGGUAGGUCGCUCCCAUGCAUUGCUCGUCCAAUGAUCAUCUUAAUCACCUCUUUUGAGCUCCAAACGCACCCAAAUGUCUCCAAGAACUCCAUGUGGUACUCCAAUACCUGAUAAAGACUCAUGUAUGCAAAAUGCAACCUAAACAUGGCUAAAUCCUAGUCUAUAUGAUCAAAAUGCACAUGGGUGAAUGGAUAAAACAAUGUAAAUAUGCAAGAUAUCACGAGCCACCUAAUUUAUUCAGAUCUUCUCCUUGCAAACACAUCCUACAACAACGGUGACCUCUCAACUCCUUCGGAAAGAUUUGAAGUCUGCAAUGGCUCCCACUGCUUCGUCUUCAAUUCUAUAUCACACUGUCCCUCUUCUACAAUACUAAAAGUUUGUAUAUAUAUAGAUCCACAAAAAGUUGUUUCCAUUUUAUUGUCGUUCUUUAUUUUCGUACCAUAUUAUCUCUCUCUAACUCACCAGUUAUAACUAUGAUGAAUCCACAGGUUCUUUCCGGUGAGUUGAAGGCAGGCCGGCGUCGUAAGACUGUGGUCACCCAUGUUUUACGUUCCUGGGAAGCAAGGAAUGUCAAGAAGGGGGGGUGAUCUUAUGGGUGUGUACUUGGUUUUGCUUGAUGAAAAGGUACGAAGGUACUUGACCUUACAUUUUAUUUUGUUUUUUUCUAAGUCUAGAAAUACAUAUAAGUUUUAUCCGUCCUGCUACAGAGAUAGCACAUAUACAUGUAAUAGCUCUGUUUUAAAUACAGUUUAAACCGUGAGUGCCCUGAUAAAUAUACAUGUUUUCUUAUAUAUUAGGAUCACAUACUCAGGACACAUAUGCUGAGAAAGCCCAUGAGAGACCACUGCCAGGAUUCCUAGACGAGUUAAUGGGAAGAACCAUCAGGUGAUGCUAUCUGAGUUCAACUUCACAACAAAGCUCAUCUUUGACCCUAAAUUAUUUGCCUAAAACACUAUGUGAUAAAUGAGGCCUUGGUUACACCCUGACUAUCUCACUAUCCACCCUACAACAGAUGAGAGGGGAAGAAGAGAUAAAGUAACUGUUGCGUUAUUUAGUUAUUGAUGGUCACGUCCUCUGCUCAUAAACAAAAACUCACAGUUCACCGAUUCACAUGUUUCAGGCUAGCUUGCCCGUCAAAUUAGGAAGGAACAUCGGCGUAUAAGACAGCAUUACCAAGUUGACCAAGGCCCAUUUUCUCUUAAAUAAUCAUUACACUCAUUUCCUGAGAGAACACAUUCUAAACACCACAUAACCAUUUACUUUUUUUUGUUAUUCAGAUAUGGGACUUCAGCCACAUAACCAACACGAACAAGUCAUCACUCAAUCUGAUAACGAAAGCUUACUACCAGCCUUCCAGGCUACACCUUUGGCUUCUACUGACAACAUGAACACAUGCAACACUGCACUGUACACCUUCAGCUUCAUGUCACGUGUUGCAGAAGCCUCACGCUGCGAUCUAAGCCAAUGUAUACACAAGGUGAUAAGAAAUCAUUAAAAAUCGAUGUGCUUACAGAAAGCUUGAACCUGAUGGAGCUGGCCAAACAUCAAAUACGCGGACAACCAGACAGAAAAGUUCAUUUAUGAAGACAUGCCUCAUCCACAACAAACCUGGAGCUCAGUACAUUGUAGGCAUGGAAGGGUACUUUCUGUAUAAAAACAUCGACAAGGCUCAGAGCAUGACUUAGAAAAUUUAGGGGGUUCUAUUAAAAAAAACCAGACACUUUUCAAGAAUAUAAUGAAUAAAAAUCUUUAUUUCAAAUCA